rnacentral:rRNA from 1 species
GAUGAACGCUGGCGGCGUACCUAAUACAUGCAAGUCGAGCGAACAGACGAGGAGCUUGCUCCUCUGACGUUAGCGGCGGACGGGUGAGUAACACGUGGAUAACCUACCUAUAAGACUGGGAUAACUUCGGGAAACCGGAGCUAAUACCGGAUAAUAUAUUGAACCGCAUGGUUCAAUAGUGAAAGACGGUUUUGCUGUCACUUAUAGAUGGAUCCGCGCCGCAUUAGCUAGUUGGUAAGGUAACGGCUUACCAAGGCGACGAUGCGUAGCCGACCUGAGAGGGUGAUCGGCCACACUGGAACUGAGACACGGUCCAGACUCCUACGGGAGGCAGCAGUAGGGAAUCUUCCGCAAUGGGCGAAAGCCUGACGGAGCAGCGCCGCGUGAGUGAUGAAGGUCUUCGGAUCGUAAAACUCUGUUAUUAGGGAAGAACAAAUGUGUAAGUAACUAUGCACGUCUUGACGGUACCUAAUCAGAAAGCCACGGCUAACUACGUG